CACGGGUGAGUAACACGUAUCCAACCUGCCGUCUACUCUUGGCCAGCCUUCUGAAAGGAAGAUUAAUCCAGGAUGGCAUCAUGAGUUCACAUGUCCGCAUGAUUAAAGGUAUUUUCCGGUAGACGAUGGGGAUGCGUUCCAUUAGAUAGUAGGCGGGGUGACGGCCCACCUAGUCAACGAUGGAUAGGGGUUCUGAGAGGAAGGUCCCCCACAUUGGAACUGAGACACGGUCCAA
rnacentral:rRNA from 1 species